rnacentral:lncRNA from 1 species
AGGUGAAUGAGAACACAGAUAAAACAUAUCGAAAUCUCUCUAGGACACUACAAAGGCAGUUCUAAGAGGAAAGUUCAUUGCAUGGAGUUCAUUCCUUAAAAGAAGAAAAAGUCAACAAAUAAAUGACCUCACUUUACAUCUCAAAACUCUAGUAAAAGAAGAACAAGCAAUACCAAAAAUUGUAGAAGACAGAAAAUAAUUAACAUCAGAGCUGAAAUCAAUGAAAUUGAAACAAAAUAAACAAUUCAAAAAAUUAACAAAACAAAAAGUUGGUUCCUUGAAAAAAAUAAGUAUAAUUGAUAAACGCAUAGCCACACUAAUGACGAGAAGGGGAGAGAAAAUUCAAAUUACUAACAUCCAUAAUGAAAAAGGAAAUAUCAUGACAGACACUACAGAAAUACAGAAGAUAGUUAGAAAUUAUUUUGAAAAUUUGUACUCCAAUAAAAUAGAAAAUAUCAAAGGCAUCGACAAAUUUCUAGAGUCAUAUGAUUUGCCCAAACUGAAUCAGGAGGAUAUACACAGAUUAAACAGAUCAAUUUCAAGCAAUGAAAUAGAAGAUACCAUCAGAAUCCUACCAACCAAGAGAAGCCCUGGACCAGAUGGAUACACAGCUGAGUUCUACAAGACUUUCAAAGAAGAACUAAUACCAGUACUCCUCAAAUUAUUUCAUGAAAUAGAAAAAGAGAAAACACUUCCAAACUCAUUUUAUAAGACCAAUAUCACCGUGACUCCAAAACCAGACAAAGACACAUCAAAGAAAGAAAACUUCAGACCAAUAUCUCUAAUGAACAUAGAUGUAAAAAUUCUCAAUAAAAUUUUGGCAAAUUGAGUACAAAAACAUAUUAAAAAGAUAGUGGGCCACCAUCAAGUGGGGUUCAUCCCAGGGAUACAAGAUUGCUUCAACAUACAGAAAUCAAUAAAUGUAAUUCAUCACAUCAAUAGACUUAAAGAUAAGAAUCAUAUGAUCAUCUCAAUAGAUUCAGAAAAAGUAUUCAACAAAUUACAGCACCCCUUCAUGUUCAAAACACUAGAAAAACUAGGGAUAACAAAAAUAUAUCUCAACAUUGUAAAGCUACGUAUGCUAAGCCCAAGGCCAACAUUAUCCUAAAUGGAGAAAAAUUGAAACCAUUCCCUCUAAAAACUGGAACAAAACAAGGAUGCUUUCUUUCCCCACUUCUAUUUAACAUAGUUGUUGAAACUCUAGCCAGUGCAAUUAGAUAGAUGAAAGAAAUUAAAGGGAUAUGGAUUAGAAAAGAAGAACUCAAACUAUCACUAUUUGCCGACGACAUGAUUCUAUACCUAGAGGAUCCAAAAAAUUCCACCAGAAAAUUUCCAGAACUAAUAAAUAAACUCAGCAAAAUAGCAGGAUAUAAAAUCAACAGCCAUAAGUCAAAUGCAUUUCUGUACAUCAGUGACAAAUCCUCUGAAAGAGAAAGUAGG